AAGUGUGGACCAAUAUAUUAGGUUGGUGCAAAAGUAAUUGUGGAUUUUGCCAUAAAAGAAAUUACAAAACCCACAAUUACUUUUGUACCAACCUAAUAUCUUUUUCCCUCU
rnacentral:miRNA from 1 species